rnacentral:rRNA from 1 species
GACGAACGCUGGCGGCGUGCUUAACACAUGCAAGUCGAACGGGACUUGUUAAGUUGAAACUUCGGUCGAUUCUUUUCAAGUCUAGUGGCGGACGGGUGAGUAACACGUGAGGAACCUGCCCUUCAGAGGGGGACAACAGUUGGAAACGACUGCUAAUACCGCAUAAGACCACAGAGCCGCAUGGCUCGGGGGCCAAAGGAGAAAUCCGCUGAAGGAUGGCCUCGCGUCCGAUUAGCUAGUUGGCGGGGUAACGGCCCACCAAGGCGACGAUCGGUAGCCGGACUGAGAGGUUGAUCGGCCACAUUGGGACUGAGACACGGCCCAG